AAAAAAUAGAGCUCAGUCAUAUUUCUCGUCCUUCACUGUUGAUAUCUAAUCACCAUCUAAAAAGACACAUUAAAGUUCAGCAGAUACGUUUUGGGAGAACAGAAGAACGGUCAAUCAAAACAGAGAAUUUCGAUUUCAAAUUUUGAGGUUAUGUUCUACACUCAUAGAUCUAUAUUUAUCAGAAAGCGGAUCAUCAUUUGGAGUUUUCAUCUAAUAGUUAUGGUUAUUUCUUUGGGGCUGUUCGUUGUAGAUGGGAUCCGCCAACAGUCAACUUCAUCGGUGUUUUCCCGUCGAUCCAGAAGGAACCAGGAAACGAGCGAGAUAUCAUUGGAAAGCUCUUACUGUCAGAUUUCUAUAUCAUCUUUUAGAUUCUCAAACCGAGAGCCAGUUCCGAUCAGUCUCGGUGUAAGGGAGAAACGAUCAAUCUAAACGAAAGAUUUAAAUCUGUAAAUUUGUCAUUAAGUAGAUAAUUCUUUUAUCUGUCUUCUCCAACAAGCGGAUUGUCAUUUCGAGUUAUUUUCUGAGAGUUAUUCUUGGUUUCGUGGGAGGUGUUGGUACAGUCUGCGUUUGCAACCAGUGUGGAGAUGAAGCUAUUUUGGUUAAUCAAAUGGUGCCCGAUCAGAGUAAACUCGGUGGCUACGGACAAAGGACAUAUAGGAAUACAUUAUGACCGGAGGGAUCAAAACGUUAACGAAAGUUCGAGAAUUGCUAUCUUAGAGGUGUUAAGGUCCAUUCGGCGUUUUCUCAAGUUUUCUUCAGAACCCGUGGCAAAGGUGAGACAGACGAGUAUAUGAUAUUUGGACGGAUUGGUGCUAUUGGACUUUUUAUUCGGAUUUUUAUUUGGGCUUUGGGUGAGUGGAGUUGUGUAUAUGGGCUUUUAUGUUGUGAGAUAUUGUUGGUGGCGUGUUAUUCUCCGGAUAUGAGGUGACGGGUGUCACAAGAAUAUUUUUUAAAUAGCUUCAAAGUUUUAAGUAUAUUUAAUAUUAUAUAAUUAUUAAUA